rnacentral:lncRNA from 1 species
GUUUGUAGAGACUCCUCCGGUACCACAGGGCCGGCCACACUCUCUGGCCCUUGCCCGGGGCCCUGCUUGUGGGCGUCACUCCUGAGGCCUUCGCAGGUUUGGCAAUUGAUUUCUGACUUCACCGUCCACACAGGCUUAGGUUUUGGCUUCUGUGUGCUGCACACUAGUUCCCCUGAUCCACCUUUUUCCAGAUUCCAAAACUUGGCUUUUUCUUGAAGAGCAGGGAUGUCUAACUCCUUCUCUCUGACUUUCUGGGUUUAACUCUUUACUGCAUUUGGGUUUUUGGGUGGCAGCUCAGAGCACUCGUGUUCAGUCGUCCAAGUGUCAUCAGAGUGCACGGAUAGAUUCUCUACUGUGUCACUCUCCAUUUGUUCCUGGAAGAAACGCUCUGUGAUUCUGCUUCGUUAUGAGAUGCUGCUUCGUUCUCUUUAAUUAUUUUAUUUAGGAUUGUUGUAUCUACUUAUACUUGGGAUGGUGCUUUAAUUUUCGUUUUUCUUGUCUUUUUUGACAUUCUGUGCAGAAUUUUAUUAGGCCCACAAGAGGAGAUGUACAUCUUUCUGAUUUUUUGAAAAUAAUUUUUUUGUCUCUGAAUUGCAUUGAAGCCUGGUGGAAUGUGAGUAGGAAUGCACUCUGUAGAGCAGGAAGGAGGCCAGAUCUGAACAUGUGGAAAGUUGCCAUUACCGUUUUAGAAGGCCUGCCUGCCAGAGAAGGCAAACAAAAUCUCAGGACCUGACCUCUUACACUGGACUAGGGUCAGUGGAGAUGAGCAGACAAGACCCUCUCAGUCUCUCGGAUCUUGCAGCACAGAGCCUGCUGAAUGAUGAGGACUCAGCUGUCUGUGCCUUGGAGGAGCUCCCUGUGGGCCUUUUCCCAGCACUGUCCAUGGCAGCCUCUGAUGGAGGACACACAAAGACUGUGACAGCAAUGGUGCGGGCCUGGCCCUUCCUCUUGGAAGCUGUUCUAGAUGGGCUGGAAUUGGUUUCUACCAAUGUUGCAUGCCCCAGGGCAGAUGAGCAGUCUGGGCCACCUCGUCAUGAACGACAUCCCCUGGGAUUUCCCUGCAGACUGUUUCUCUUUGCUAAGUCUGCUGGGCCACCUUCAGAAGCUCCAUCUCAUCUUCGGCUAUCUCUCGGGCCAGCUACAGAAGAUGCUGAGAAGAUGGCUCCCACCAUUUGCAUCCAGACUGAGUGGCCUGUGAAAAUCUCUGGAGACGCUGGUGAUCAAUGGAUGUAG